GAUCCCAUUGAAAAUAUAUUUUGACUAUUGGAAGUUCAUAUGCAGAGAAUCCCAAAAUGUUCAAUUGCAGAUAUGUGCUUUGCUUGUAGUAUUUGGGGAUCCAACAUAUAUGGGUACUCUGAUGAGGGGUCUGGUAGAAACAAUUUCUUCUUUGAAUAAGGAUACUGUGAAUUGUUCAAAAGUGCAAUAACAUAAUGUCACUAAGGUUAAAAUGCUACAAAUCAGUCUUAGAUACUCCUCUUUUUACAGAAUUAUAGAAAGAUCAACAAUUUACUGCUUGUAUUGGUAUGCAUUUGGUAGGUGAAAAAUACAGUGUUAUUUGUUUUAACUUUAAAAUACUCCACAAAGCAAAUUCAUGUUGAAAACUAUAUCUAAAACUAUUAGUUAUGUCUCUUGGCUCUUUAGAUUUAGUUGAAAGGCAAUACCUCUUGUUUCUUUUGCUCCUUCUUAUAUAAGAUUAAGGAUAAUAAAUAGGAAGUUUUACAUUGAUCCAAUUAACCUGUGCAUAUCAAAUAAUAAAGGCUGUUUAUGUAGUCAUAAUUUGUUUUAAAAUAAGAAAUGUAGAAAAAAAUUAUGAUACUGUGGAGUUAUUAGUAUUCAUUUUAUAACUACAGCAAAACUGGCACCUUCAACUUAAGGUCAUACCUCAACUUCAAGGGCAACACCUCCUUCGGUCAAACUUGCUAUGAGAGUAAUAAGAGUUAGACAUAACAGCUCUCUUAAAAAAUUACACAUGUAAUAUAUAGGCAUGUCUUAAAUACUCAAUAUAUAUGUAAAUGAACUCACAUGUAUAAAUGCUCAGAUAUUCCCAUUUUAAGGUAUAUAUAGUCCCAAAUAUCUAUAUCUAUAUCUAUAUCUAUAAAGAUAUUUGACAAUUUAGGGCUUAAAGGUAAAAUUAUUUUUAAAACUUACAUGUUAUAGUUAACUUUGUUGAUAUUUUAUCUUCACCUAUUUCUUUUUAUCCCACUAACAGAAAUUAGUAAGGCAGAGUGGUAACUGUUCAGAUUUUUAGAAAACUCUUAAGUUUUUUAUAAAUAUGUAAUGUGCCAUAGCUUAUAUCAUAUAAUGACUCAUCAUUUUGUAAACUACAGAGAAAAAAAGACAGCAGGGAAAAUGUUUAACUCUUACUCUUAUUUUCUUAUAAUUCAAAGUACAAUGUACAAUUCUUAAUUACUACAUUUCCUUAACAUGAACUUCAGUGGUUACAAAACAUUACUGGAAAAACAGGUUUGUAUAACUUUGUAAUAAUCUGUAAUAAAAGCAAUUGUAUAGUUAUCAAACAGAUAGAAAUUGUUUUUAAAGUUCUUCCCACAUUUCUCUUACUUUUCUAUCAGUAGUGUCGGCAUACUAGAAAUAGCCUAAUUGCUCUGUUGUCUUGAAAACAUUUGUUGGAUUGAGCUCUCACUACCCAAAUGCAACUCAUGUCUUUUGAGUAUCUGAUGCCAACAAUCUGGAUGUUUGUAAUAAUUUGAAUGUCUGAUAUUUUUUCUUAUUGAAUAUUUAUUAUGACGUCAACAGAGUCUAUAUUGUGGCAACUUGAGUGCAUGUUGGUCCAUAUUUGGUCAUUAUGUUUUCUAGACCAUUUCAUGGUUUUUUACAACUCAUAGAAUUUAAGUAUGACAUUAAUCUGGAUUGCCCAAAUUGCUCAGAUUAGGUAUAUCUUUCAGAGUGUUUUCAAGUAGCAGUUAUCUAUUGUACCACAAGUGGUAUGAUGAUGUUUUGAAAGUUGUGCAAUGGGAGUGUGUAAAAUGGUCUCAAAACACCUUAAAACAGCAAUUUAAUAGGAAGCACAAGCAUGAUUAAUUCCUCUUAAAUUGUUGAAUCUUCUGUAUUAAACAUGUUAGUACAUUGACAAAUGCAAAUCUUUUUGUUUGAAUGAUUUUCUUGGUUAUAUGAAUUAAAACGCCUCUUUUUUCAGUAAAGGAUUUUUGGUUUGGAAGCUUGUUUAGGUCUGAAAAAUUAAUAUUUGGUAAAAAUUUUGAUUCUGUUGACUUCAUUUUCAGAUGUAACUCAAUCUUCAAGGACUUGAGUAUCUUUAGCAUUAACAAUAAAAUCUACCCAUUUUGCUUUAAUUGAUACGGAAAACAUGAGAUGAUGGGCUAAGCAUUUUCUUUUCUUCCAAAUAAAAAUAUUAAUUUGAAUGACUUUUUUAGAUAGUGAAGACACAAUCAUACUUAUUUCCUUUGCAUGUAAUAAAUUUGUGUUUUAGCUACCAGUUCAAAUACCUUGAAUAGAAUUUUCACUGUGUCUUGGGAUUAUUUAUAUGACAACUGCAAAAUCAGUUAGAGCUUAUGAGGUAAAAUUGUUGGAUAGUCUUACCUCUUAGAGAUAUGACUACUGCCAGCUACGCUACAUUUAUAAAAGCAGGAAGGGUGAAAAUCACCAACAUUUUUGUUGAUUUGUUUCUCAAAGCUUCCUUAAUUCUUUGUUAUUGAUGCCACGACUUUUGAGAGUUUCUUGAUUUCUUAACUGUAUACAGUAAAUCCUUCUUUGGCUUAUUCUUUAUUUAGCAUUUCACAAGAAUAUGAAGAAUGAUGUAAUAAGCCCAAUGAACAAAUCGACAGAACAUUGAUACAUUCUGUUUCCAUUUCUUCCAUUUGCUCUUACCGGAGGAGUAAAAAUAUCACUGAGGCAUUAUUUUGGAAAGCUUGUUCACUAACAUGGCCCAGAGGCUUUAUAAGCAAUUUAAACCCGUGAUCUAUGCAAUGAAUUCACAUUGAUGCAGUUCAUGGUGAAUGGCAUGAUUGUCAUUUUGAAAUAACACUUCCUACUAUGCUCCUGUAUGUGAUUGUGCUAGGUACAAUUAAACUCGCUGUUUAUCAGAAUAUCAAUUUUUAAAAACCUAGUUAUUUGCGGUAGGAAUAUUUGACAGCUCUUCCUUUGAGGAUUCUAUUUUACAGUUUAAGUCAUUAUUGCAUAAAUCAUCCUUGGCAGCUGUGAAAUAUUGCUUGAGGUGAUAAAGCUGUAAAUCUUUUGACAUAAAACUCUAAUUAUACAAAACUAUAAUUAUGCUUUGACUUAUAUAAGGAUGGGUAUGUAUUUUAAUAGCAUAAUAGAUUCAUUUAAAAAUACCUUUUCAGCAACAAAGAUUAAAAAAUAGCAAACACUUGAGUUACUAACUAGUUUGUAGUUUGUAGAUGAUACAAAUAGAAAGGAAACAAACAAAAAAAAUAGCCCCCACAACUAAGUUUAUCCUUCAUCUUGUUUGGACUAUGUCACAGAAUAGAGCUAGCUAGUUUAAGUGCUAAACCCCUUCAGGCAUAUUUAGAAAUGUGACUUUGACCUUAAAUUAUCAAGCAACUUUAAACAUUUGAAAAAUCAAAGUAAAUUUCUCCAGGAGAAAUAAAGGUCUUUACCAGUAGGAAAGUAGGACUUAAAAUGUAUUAUUUUCUGAGGUCAGAGCAUUCUUCUUGUAUGUUUGUCAUUAUGCUUCCAUACACACCACAGUAUAAUUUUGCUAACAAAUCAGAAAUAUACAGUGCUACUUUCCUUAUCUUCAUGCUGCUUUUAAAGAACUGAAGAAUGAUAAGGGGCUGAGGGAAGUCCUGCCUAAUCCAGUCAGAUAUCAGUACAAAGUUUCAGAGGUAGAGUUUGAUUAACUAAACUCAGAAGAGGUCUUGCUUUGGUAGUACUGAACUUACUAUAUCUGAGAAUUAUGUGGAAUUAUCUUCUAGAAGCAGCCUUGCUUUUGUGAAUCAAGGUGAAGAUGUAGAUUCAGCGACUCCUCUCUCAUGUAAUGUACCAGGCACUAUAAGAACAGUAGGAAGAUAUACAAAGGAUGAUUUCACCUGAUCUCUGUAGGACAUUUGUAUUACAGAGUGACUAAUAUUCAUUUUUAUCUUCUACAUAGCAGCUGUUUUUAUAAAAUUAUUUUUAAAGGAAAAACAGUAUUUGGAGUAUGAGGUUGUUAAAUGCAUAGAGAGCCUACAAAAUUUAGUAUUAAUUGCUGUUUUCCUUCUAUUCCCCAAAUUUAAAACAAAUGUGCUUAUGUAUAUCUUUUUUCACCUUUGUCAUGUAUACGUAAUAAUAUAUUAAAGAAGCAAUGAAGUUUAAAGUUUAUUAGCACAAACAGAAAUUUCAAAAAAUUUCAUAAUAGCUUUAUAUAAGUUAUAUGGCAUAUAAAACAUUCAGCUCUCUUAAUUCUUGGAUUGUGUAGAAGAGAUACAGAUGGUAGUUUUUUAGACAAGAACAAAAAUAUAUUUUAUGUGUGUGUAAUUCAAGCAAUGAGAAAGAUUUUCAGAGAGUAUCUUGCCUAGAGUUUGCUUGGGUGUUCAUUUUAACUUUCUGUUUAUAAUUUUUUAUGUUCUAUUCAAUAGACUAUUGCGACAACAGUAAUCCUAAAAUUCAUUUAUUUUAUGUGCCUAAAUUUUGUAUCAUCUCAUGGACUUUGAAUAUUAUCCAGAAUUCAAAUUUGAUCAGUUGUAAUUGUUGAUAAAAUAGGCAUUCUCAAGAAAUGCUCUUCUUCACAAUUCGAAAACUAUUUCAGUAUUGUCCUAAGUAAAACCAAAUAUCCUAAAAUGUAGAUGAGCUGUGUUUAUCAGUUACUUUUCACUAUUCACCAACAUCAUACCUCUAAGCAGGUCUGGUGCCAAGAAGAAGCCAUAGUUUCUACCAGCUUGAGAGUGAACUUCUCAAGUUAUUUUCACAUCCAAGGGGCUUGAGAACAGGUCAGUUUAGUAUUAUACAAACAAGAUAGGGUUAACGGGAGAAACUUGCUUCCACCGGCUUCAAAAGGUUUUUGGUUGGUUAGUUGAUUGGUUUUGGUUUUGUUGCUGUUGUUGUUUCCUAUAAAUAAUCUCUGAGUCCAUUGCUAGCAAUCUGGCCUGCCUAGUUAGUUGAGCCACAGGGAAGUAAUAGUUGGGGUAUGAGUACUGAGGUGUCACCAUUCAUCUGGGCUUAUAAACUAGAAACUUUGGCAUAAUUUUCCACUUUUCUCCAUCCCUCAGCUCCCUAAAACCAAUUGGUUACCAAUCCUUUCAAUAUUUACAUCAGAAAUGUUUCUCAAUGCUUCCUCCACUUUUCCAACCACUUCAAGUGGUCUGAUUAAAGCCUGCUGUCCUUCUGAAGUAAUCAAGUUUCUAGUUUCUCUCCUACAAUCCAUCCUCCAUAUGCUAUCAGAGAGCUAUUCCCAAAACAUGAGUCACCUAUACUUCUUAGUGCCAAGAAUUACUGGAAGUAAUUUUUACAUAUCAAAUAGUGGAUACAACCAUCCCAUAAAAUAUAUACUCUUAUUAUCCCCAUUUUGUGGAAAUAACACUGAGGCUCAGAGAGACUGAAUAAUUUGCCAAAUUGCACAUAGCUUAUACAUGGUGGAGUCUGAGCCCUAAACAAAUUUGCCUUACAGCUGCUCAAUGUACCAAUAUCAGACCUCAGCUUGAAAACCUGUUUUCAGUCAUUAAACCUCUCAGGAUACUGGCUGCCUUCAGAAUUGAAUUCACUUGGGAUUUCAAGAAUGGUGUUGUCUUAGUCUUUUCCUGCUGUGAUAACAAAAUAACUUAGAGUGGGUAACUUACAAAUAAUAGAGAUUUAUUUCUCACAGUUUUGGAGGCUGGGAAGCUCAAGAUCAAGGCAUGAGGCUGGUAAAGGUUGGUUCUUUGCUUUCAAGAUGGAAAUUUGUUGCCUGUGACCUCACAAGGCAGAAUACAGAGGGCUAAAAGGGGUAGUCAUCUCUCUGAAGACUCUUAAAGGCAUUAAUCCCAUUCAGGAGAGUGGAGCCCUUAUGACUUAAUCACACCCCAAAAGUCUACACUUCUUACGACUCUCAUGUUGGGGUUGAAGUUCCAACAUAUGAAUUUUGAAGGAACACAUACAUUGAAACCAUCAUAGGUAUGUUUAGAGAAAUCGAACUGGAUUCCCAGCUCUGAAAAUAACUAGACCUUCUUUGUGCCUCAUUUUUCUUUUCUGAUACCUAUUUGGACAAUAUCAUCUAUGUUGUCAGGCUUAUCGAAUGUGUUGCAUGCAAUCAAGAACAUAGCAUUAUUUCUGGCAUGGUUUCUUGGCUGUAAUUUGUUCAAUAAAUAUCAACUAGUUGAAUAUAUUGCCACCUUAAUUUCUCCCGCAAAUCUUAUGAUCCAGUCAUACUUGAUUGCUCAGUUUCUUAAAGUAGUAACAUAUUUUUCUUCUACUAAUACUCUUUAACCUUUAGAAGUUUCUCUUUACCUAUAAUGAAUACUUCAAAGUAUUUCUAAAUGGAUCGCCCUUCUUUCAGCUUCUUAUCCUAGAGAAAUCAUCUUUAUCCUUUCAAAGACAGGUCAAAAGACCUCUCUGUGAAGUUCCGCCUGAUGUUCUCACUGCCUGGACCUCUAGAACCAUUAGCACUUGGUUCUAGACUCCAUGGUAGCCUCUGAAGUGUGCUUCUUGUUAUUACAUAUUAUUGUAGUUAAUUUAGUCUAUUUUUAGUUUAUUCAGAUAAAACACCAAGUCUUAUUAAUUUCUGUCUCCAGAAUAUAUAGAAGAGUAACUAGUACUAAGUGGGUGCACUGUUAGUAUUCACCUAAAGAAUGAAAAGAAGAUGAAAAAUGGUACCAUGGGGUUAGAAAAAAAAAACAAAACUACUUAAGAUAAUAAGAUCUAGGGGAAAGUGUAUUAUAGGAAAAGUGUGAUGCUUUGAAUAUUUUUUUUCAUUUUCUUAAGAACACUUCUAAAAUAUUAAAAACCAUUUUUACCUUAAUUUUAUUAGUGGCCAUAUUUUUUGUUUAGUAAUCUAAGAUAUUAAAUCAUCUUCUUAGCCUGAAACUAUAUGAAUAGCUAGAAAGAUAUUUAAUGAAGAGUUAGAGAUAAACUGUCACCAGAAAUUAUUAACCUGUUACCUAAGUGUCACUCACUUGCUACCCCACCAAUGACUUACUAGUGUCUCCAACAAUCUCUAAUAGAGCAAAUCGAAGUUUUUUUCUGUUCUCUUCUAACUUGAUUUCAUUGCUAUGGUUGACACAAUAUCUAAUGCAACAAUUUAUCCUUCCUUGGGUUCUUGAAAAUUCUUAAUCAGUAAUGAAGCUUGAUUUCAGGGUUAUACAAUAAUGCAAAUGUAAAAUGUAAAGUGAUAAAGCUAGGUUAUUAAUAAUUAAUUAUUAUAAUUGACAGAUGAAUAUUUCCUCUCUCUCUUUAUUGUGCUGUCUGCAUUUACAGAUAGUACUGAACUACCAAGAAGCAAUAUAGUUAGGUAGUUAUAAGGCAUUAAUUACAGUAGUGAAAAAAUAUGUCUUAUUAUGAACAAAUUAAGCAAGUUAAUAGGUUAUGAGAAAACAGAAUUCCAGAUUCUCAUGGCUGUUACUGAAUAUUCCAUAAUCUCCGCCUCAUCCUCCUUAAAUUUACAUGAAAUAUCUAAUUAAGAAAAGCAAAGGGCCCUUUCCAUGAUAGCUCAAAUCCUAGCUGAGGCGUCUCCUAUGACUUUUCCCAAGUUAAAGUAGGCCUGCUUGUGUGCAAACUUGUCCUUUUCAUGAUUCCCACUGUUUUGUAGAAUGUCUCACACUACUUUUUACUCAGAAAAUGGGUAAAAACAGCUGUGGCUGGUGCUCAGUGGGCAGGAAUUCAAGGGAGGAGUGAGAGAGGACUGUGGGUACAUUUCUGCCUUUAGUUGGCUCAUUUUGUAAAAUGAUCUCAAACUAGACUCUGCAGGGCAGGAUGUCUGAGGUUCCCUGAGCCACGUGGCUUUUGCUUACCUGCAUUUUCUUUCCAGAUGAGUCAGAAUACAGUGUAAUACCAAGUGGACUCUCACCAUUGUGGGUUUUAUUGUUUCCUUUUUCUGUUUUUAUUUUAUUCUUUCCUUCUUCCUUUGGGAUCAUUAGGGGUGUUUUCAUUUAUCAUUCUUUCUUAAUUUUGAUAGAACAUUAAUUCUUCCACGUUUUUUGAAAUACUGGUUUUGAGAGAAAUGUAAUAACUGCAUGAGUUCAAGCAACUUAAAAUGUCUGUCGCUUAUAUAGAUUAUUGUCCUUUAGCCUCAAAACACUCUUCUUACUUCUAUUCGGUGAAAUCUGUAUCAAUGACUUAAGAUGAUGGGCAUGAUGACAAAAAUGAAAAUACAAAACUAGUGGUGGUUUUAUAACAAAUAACAAAUAAAUAAAAAUCUAUUUGUGCUAAAAAAUGAUCACCUAUUUUAACACAAUCUUAAGGUAUUUGCAUAUACUAAUUAAGACUAUAUCAAUUGGACAAAAUCAGUGUCAGAGCUAUGCAGGUUGUAUGGUAUGUGAAUGUUUUUUAAUAAAGUUUCUGUUUACUCUUUUAGCUAAAUCCAUUAAAAUUUCUUCUGAUUUUGCUAAAAAGUCUUAUAUAUACCAUCUGUUUUCUUUAAUAAUAUUAAUCAUUUGAUCUUUAGCUGUACAUUUAUUCAAGGGGUUUACAUGUAACAGAUGUGCUCUUUAGAUUUUAAUUUUCUUGGUUGUAGGCAAUGGACACCAGCCCUCUACUCAGUACAGAUUUUCUCCCAAAGGACAAACAUUGAGUUCCAGCUCAGCGAUUGGUUCUCCCUAUAAAUUGCUUUAAGUGAUUUUCAUGACAGCUUUGGGAGGAGAAAUUAUCCCAUUUUAUAGACAAGUUAAAGUGAGUUUCAGAGAAAUUAAGUACUAAUGAUCACAAGCAAUGUGGAAGUGUGGUUUACAAUCUAUGUUUAUCUAUGCUUGCAAACUCUAGCACAUUGCCUCCAAAUGAUACACCUCUUAAACCUCAACCUACUCUAUUCUAUAUUUCCUAGUUCUAGUUCUUAAUCAUAGAUUCUACUGAUCAUGAAAGGUUCAAAUUUGAUUAACUUGGUUCAUAUCAAAGAGUGAAUAAAGCAAGGCAUUUUGCAUUUUAAACAGAACUUUAUCAAUCAAAAUGAAUCUCUAUCAGACAGGGUGUUAGAUUUUAGUAGAAUGAGGAUAGCUAGAAUAUGCUUAUAAUUUGCAUCAUUUUUAAUGGCAUUCUUUUUUGCUCUUAAAAGUGUCCCAGUUUUGGACUAUACAUUGUAUGGUUGACUUAGAUUUUGGGGGCAUGUUUGGUUAAGGCCCUCUUAGCUACUAUAUGUCUAGUCUUUAUCUACAAAGUUACGAAGAAAAUUCAUAGAGUAUUGUGGCUCAGUUGGAGGGACAUGUAUAAUGUUGUCUUCCCCUCUCCUUCCCACAAGAAAGUUUUAUUUCCUGGCAAGAUUAUGUGAUUUGACAAAAUUCACCGCUAGUAUUUCAAAGGGAAAGCAUAAAUAUACUGUAUGGAGAGAGUCUGGUUGAUUUAAAAUGCCUCCAAUUUUCUGCAUCUUGAGCCAAAUGUCAGAUUCAAUUCCUGCUACACAGCCUACUAUCUUGUUUCCCUGAGCUCCUCCCAAACCCGUCAUCCUCAGGAUUCCUCCCUUUGACCACUGGGUUCCUUCUUCCUCAGAUAGCCUUAAUGUCCCCUCCCUGAACCCUUCAACACUCCUUCACUUUUAAGCAAAUUCUGUACCGCGUCAAUCUCAGCUCAUUUCUAAGGUCUCUAAGUCCCUUAGGUAGCCUUCUCCACAUUUCCUAAUGUGUUUUCCUUUUCUCUGUUGGAACGUUUAUGAAACUGUGUUGUAGUAAUUUGUUUCUAUGUCUGUCUUUUCCACUCUGUUGAACAUUUUGAAGGUACUUUUUAAGGCAGUUUUUAAAAAGUAGAAGAAAUGGUGGGUGAGUAAAGAAUAAACUUAGCGAUCCCAGCAAUAUACCCAUUUACAGAUGAAUAUGUAUGUUAGGUGUCAGGGUCUGUAAAAAUUUUAUUCAUUCACCAUAUUGUGCCAUUUUGCUAGCUAAGGGAAUGGUGAAAAUCAAUAAUUUACAUUGUUUAUUGACUAAGAAAUUAUUAACUUGCUGCCAUAUGGUUUAUAUAUUAUAAAGCAAUUUAUUCUAAUACUUAAUAACAUGCAACUCAUUAUAAAAUUACAUAACAAAUCACUCUUCCUAGUUAGCCUAGAAAGAAAAAGGUGAAUGGUCAGAAGAGUUCAGAUAGAUCCCUGAUGCCAACACAGUUGACUGAUUCUGAUGGAACACCCACAAGUUUAAUAAAAGGAAUAAUAUCUCUACAUGUUCUCAUAAUGAUAUGCGCAUGUUUACAAAUCAUCCCAGCCCUCUCUGGAUCUCCUCAGUUAAAUACACUUGACAAAAAACUUAUAAAACCUUUCAAUUAUUCUGAUAUCUUUUUCUAUCUUUUCCCACACGUUGGAAGCAGCUUCAGACUUACACUGGUCUCACAAUACAUUUAAUUAUUUUUUCCAAGCCAUGGGUCAUGGGUUGAGAUUGUAAGGCCUGUAUGAUAUCAGAAGACACUUUAACAGUCACAUCCUGAUACAGGAUUUCACCACUUCAGCAAGGACUUCAUAUCUCUACUCUCUCUCUGUCAAAGUGAUACAAUUUCGCUGUUGAAAAAUUAGAAAAUACAGAGAGAAAAUAGAAAAAAAAAUCUUAAUCCUAAGAGAUCUCCACUGUUACAAUGAUGGCGUGUAGUGCAGCUCUAAUUUUCCUACACAAAUACACUCGUGUGUGCAUUCAUGCAUGUUUUUAACAAGACCAGAACAGCACUAUAUAUAUAAAACUGUAGUUUGUUUUCCUCACUGAGAAAUUCCUGUUGAACAUGCAUAUGCUUUUUAAUGAUUUCAUAGUAUUUUUACACAGACAGCCAGUAAUUGUGUUAAUAUCUACAGAAUAUUAUCAAUAUUUAUCACUUAAUAAUUGAACGCUUAACUAUUUCUAACUUUUUACUAUUGUGCAAAUGUACCAAGAGUCUAUUCAUCCGUCUUGAUCACCUGUACUUGUUUUUCUUACAAAAUACUUGUAGAAGUAUAAUUACUGCAUAAUAGUAUGACUAUCUUAAAAACUUUUGAUACCUCUUGUCAAACUACAACUCCAAAAAGGAAUAUGUUUAACUGCACGUUUUAUGUGUCUAAUACAACUUGGCAUUCUUUUUAAUUUUUGUUAAAUCAAGUAGAAAGAGUACCUUAUUGUCUGAUCACUAAAUUUAAUCCAAAGUCUUUAUUGAAAAACACACAUAGAAAAUAUUUGAGGCAAUUUAUUUGCCUAUUUUAAAAGUGCUCAGCAUUUUCAAACCUAGGGAGCAAUGAGAAUCUCUUUAAUAGUUGAAUAUCCUCGCUGGGUGCCCCACUUCACGCCAGGUUCACUCUGCCAAAUACUGCUUUUCACAUUCACAUUUUCAUUUAAGUAAUUUGCUGGCAUUUUUCCAAGCCUCAUAUUCA